CACGUAGGGUGCGAGCGUUGUCCGGAAUUAUUGGGCGUAAAGAGCUCGUAGGCGGUGUGUCGCGUCGGCCGUGAAAACCUGCAGCUUAACUGUGGGCUUGCGGUCGAUACGGGCAUCACUGGAGUUCGGCAGGGGAGACUGGAAUUCCUGGUGUAGCGGUGAAAUGCGCAGAUAGUCAGGAGGAACACCGGUGGCGGAAGGCGGGUCUCU
rnacentral:rRNA from 1 species